rnacentral:rRNA from 1 species
GACGAACGCUGGCGGCGUGCUUAACACAUGCAAGUCGAACGGAAAGGCCCUGCUUUUGUGGGGUGCUCGAGUGGCGAACGGGUGAGUAACACGUGAGUAACCUGCCCUUGACUUUGGGAUAACUUCAGGAAACUGGGGCUAAUACCGUAUAGGAGCUCCUGCUGCAUGGUGGGGGUUGGAAAGUUUCGGCGGUUGGGGAUGGACUCGCGGCUUAUCAGCUUGUUGGUGGGGUAGUGGCUUACCAAGGCUUUGACGGGUAGCGGGCCUGAGAGGGUGACCGGCAACAUUGGACUAGGGGAAGGGCCAAGACGCAAAGGGGGGGAAGCGGCGGGAACAUUGCACAAUGGGCGGAAGCCUGAUGCAGCAACGCCGCGUGCGGGAUGACGGCCUUCGGGUUGUAAACCGCUUUCGCCUGUGACGAAGCGUGAGUGACGGUAAUGGGUAAAGAAGCACCGGCUAACUACGUG